rnacentral:ncRNA from 1 species
UUGAGCCGUUUGCGGGAAAACUUGCACGUGCGGUUCUUAGGGGGGGAAAGACAUAAAAGUCCUACCUAUCCAAC